rnacentral:rRNA from 1 species
AUUGAACGCUGGCGGCAUGCUUUACACAUGCAAGUCGAACGGUAACAGGCCGCAAGGUGCUGACGAGUGGCGAACGGGUGAGUAAUGCAUCGGAACGUGCCCAGUCGUGGGGGAUAACUACUCGAAAGAGUAGCUAAUACCGCAUACGAUCUAUGGAUGAAAGCGGGGGACCGUAAGGCCUCGCGCGAUUGGAGCGGCCGAUGUCAGAUUAGGUAGUUGGUGGGGUAAAGGCUCACCAAGCCAACGAUCUGUAGCCGGUCUGAGAGGACGACCAGCCACACUGGGACUGAGACACGGCCCAGACUCCUACGGGAGGCAGCAGUGGGGAAUUUUGGACGAUGGGCGCAAGCCUGAUCCAGCAAUGCCGCGUGCAGGAAGAAGGCCUUCGGGUUGUAAACUGCUUUUGUACGGAACGAAACGGCUCUGGUUAAUACCCGGGGCUAAUGACGGUACCGUAAGAAUAAGCACCGGCUAACUACGUG